CGCCGGCCGCUGUCUCCGCCCUGCCCCGCUCCGCGGGCGGAAGCUCGGCGCGGCCCCGGGGCUCCCAUCCCUCCGUAGGGGAGGAGAUGGGGAAGGACGGGCAGGGCGCAGGGCAGCCCCGAGGGGGCGCGGGAGGACAUCUUGGAGCGUGGCGGGAUCAGCGCUACGCGGGCGGCCGGUGCGGUCACCUGCAGGAGAUAGCGCGCUGUCUGCGCUAGCUUUUCUCGUGACUAAAAGCACUUCUCUAAUCAUUACCUUCUAAUUAACUUGUGCUAAUAAGCACGGCUGGAAUCCUGUGGACUCUUUGCAGGCGCUUUCAUCCGAACUCCAAGAAGAGCGUCAGUUUGCUCUUCGCUCACAGGUGAAACCUGUUCGUUAGCGCCCAAACUGAGGUGCUGAAUUGCGGCCCCCCUGCAGGGCGGUGCAUAACACCAGAGCCCUGGUAGCUCAUCGUGUGGAACUAAAGUCUAAUGCAGCAGUUCCCAGGCGCAAAAAUUACCUCCUGAAGCAUUUGCUGAAGACAGACAUCACAGCCAGCACAUGGAUGGUGUACCCAGCAGUUCAGAAAGGAAACCUGGGUGUGUUUUGAUGCAUAAAAAUGAGUCUACAGUCAAAAUUCUACCCCGGUGGGUAUUUGCGUACUCUCUGGCUGUGCUUCAGAAAAAGCUGAAUUUUGUCUUAAGCAGAAAAGCAGUGAAGACCAAUUCAUUAAAAACAACAGCCAU